UUUGUUUUAUUUGCUCCAAUUUUGUUUGUAAACUGUACUAAUCUGAGUAUCCCGUUGCUGUUAAUUAUUUCUGCAUAAUGGUUUAAAUUUGUUUGGAAAGGUUCGUUCAAUGUGUUAUGUGUUUGUUCUGAUUUUGGAUCGUUUUCGUUAUGUUCAAUUUAUGGGUUUACUGGUUUAUGUUCAAGGAUUUUAGCUGUAUCGCGUGUAGUAUUGUUGUUUUUUUUUGUUGUUUUUUUGUUGUUUUUUUUUAACUUGCUUCGACGAUUUUUACAUAUCUGUAUGUUAUGGCAUUAUGGAAACUCUGGACUGUUGAAUUUGGUGGUCGGAGUACUUGGUGCUUUGUUUAUCAGAAUUUACAGAGAUGAUGUUUUUGUUUGGUGGAGUUUUUUUAUGGAAUUUUGCAGUUCAAAGCACCAAGACAGACUUAUAAUGUUAAGGCAUUUGUAAGCUUGGCAACGAAGAUGUGUGUAACAGUCCUAGUGCUUGUGCUUUUACUAAUUUCGAAGUGCUUGAUCCUAAUUUCAGGUUUUUGAUUUUUUGGAGUAAGCUGCUGGUUGCAACCAGAAAAAGGGAUAUAAUUGAGUACGUUCAUUAGUGUAAAAUAUUCAAUCCAGCAAAGGCUGAGAAAUUUUCAUGGUAAUU